rnacentral:rRNA from 1 species
UACGAAGGGGACUAGCGUUGUUCGGAAUCACUGGGCGUAAAGCGCACGUAGGCGGAUUUGUAAGUCAGGGGUGAAAUCCCGGGGCUCAACCUCGGAACUGCCUUUGAUACUGCGGAUCUCGAGUCCGAUAGAGGUGGGUGGAAUUCCUAGUGUAGAGGUGAAAUUCGUAGAUAUUAGGAAGAACACCGGUGGCGAAGGCGGCCCACUGGAUCGUUACUGACGCUGAGGUGCGAAAGCGUGGGGAGCAAACAGG